AACCUUUGUUGUUGAUUUUCUGUCGGCGGACACAAACCUGGCUGUGCUCCCUUAAUGUCAGAGCGCGUCCCUUUGAUGGAGAGCUGAUGAUGCGGGAUCCCAUUGUGUGUGAGUGUGUGGGAGGGAGAGAGUGAGUGUGUAAGUGGGAGAGGGAGAGAAAUUCAUGCCUGGAUCAUGGCGGCUGACUUGAGGAGGGAGACACUACCUGAUCAAUGGUCUUACGGUGUUUGCAGGGAUGGUCGUGUUUAUUUCAUUGACGAUGAAACACAAAACACCAGCUGGUUACAUCCCCGGACUGGUGUGGCUGUCAAUUCUGGACACAUAACACGAACAGAUCUACCUCGCGGCUGGGAGGAAGGAUUCAGCGACGAGGGAGCGAGUUACUUUAUCGAUCAUAAUCGACGGACUACAUCCUUCAGGCAUCCAGUGACUGGAGAGAUUUCCCAAGAAAACGCUGAAUUCAUCUUGAACGAACAGCCAAAUAUCCGCAUGUCUAAGCAACAGGCAGAUCAAAGGCCGUCCAGUAUGGUCAGCGAGUCGUCCACAGCAGUGACCUUGUCCACGAUGGACACUGCACCAGGUUCAAAGGUUUCAAGGUCGAGUGGCAGAAUCCAUAACUUUGGAAAGCGGGAGCAGUCAAUCAGGAGGAACCCAAAUGCCCCGGUGGUGGUGAGAGGAUGGCUGUACAAGCAGGACAGCUCUGGAAUGAAGCUGUGGAAGCGACGGUGGUUUGUCCUCUCGGAAUAUUGCUUGUUCUAUUACAAAGAUAGCAGAGAGGAUACCGUGCUGGGAAGCAUUCCACUGCCAAGCUACGUAGUUGCCCCUAUAGAGCCGGAGGAUCACAUAGGCCGCAAAUAUGCCUUUAAGGCCACCCACACGGGCAUGCGGACGUACAUUUACAGUAAGAACUCUCUGAUUGGCUCGCAGGCGGAGCACACCGGCAUGAGAACCUACUAUUUCAGUGCAGACACUCAGGAGGACAUGAGCGGCUGGAUCAGGGCCAUGAACCAAGCAGCUCUCAUGCAAGCCUACACUCUGAAGAGGGAGACGGGGAAGGAAGACCGACCACUCCUCGCCCAGAGCAACCACAUCAACGUGUGCAAGGGGAUGGCCAGGGCUGAGGGCCUUCAGAACAAAGCUGACUCGAGGAGGCCGGACGAGACGUUUGGGUUCGAGAAGCGGGAGGAGAUCAAGAAGGAGCGAGAAGAUGAGGAGAGGUACGGCUUCCGCAAGGACACGGUAGAGAUGGCUGUCGGCAAAGGCGGCAGGAAGAGAGCUCAGGCCAGCCCCACGCAGAGCGACGAGCACGCCGCCCAUCCUCAGCUUCUGCCUCGGCACCACCCAGCCCAGCGCAAUGGGACGCUGCCUCCCACCGCGCCCAGCGCCGGGCCUGCCGAGCGGAAUGGAGGCGCUGUGUACCGGAGGGGCUUUGUGCCCCGCACUGGCACUGAGAAGAAUGCCCAGCGGAAGAGCUCCCUGGCACAAGUGGAGCAAUGGGUGAAGUACCACAAAACAGAUGGCCCGAGCCUGGGGCCCACCCAAACACUUCCACACCGGACCAGCCAGUCCCAGCCCUACCCGGAUGGCUAUCAGACACUCCCGAGGAACCUGGGGGAGAGCUCCCCUCCUGCCGGACAGCACCUGCCCAGCGACUAUAAAUAUGCCCAGGACCGUGUGCUGCACCUCAAGAUGUCUAACAACGAGCGCCAGGCCACCAAGGAUGGCAUGGUGUGGCAGCUGUACGAAUGGCAGCAACGGCAACAGUUCAAGCAUGGCAGCCCCACCGCCCCGCUCUACCCCCCGCACGACUUUGAGAUCGCCAAGGCCACGCUGGACGCCCCCCGCUCUAUUUCCGUGCCCCCGUCCCCCUCGGACAUCCCCCCGCCACCUCUGCCAGGACCUCCCAAAGCCCUCUCGCCCCGGAGACCCCACAACCCGGCCGACCGGGUCACCAUCAGGCCCCAGGAGGGCAGGGCCACCGAGGUGCCUUUCCUGGGCUCUCCCACGAAACACCGGGGGCCCGUCGCCAAGCAGACCGCCGCCCACGUUGACAGGCGUUCGAUGCCCCCCAUGGGUUACAUGAUGCACACGGUGAGCGCCCCCAGCCUGCAUGGGAAGACGGCUGAUGACACUUACAUGCAGCUGAAAAAGAACCUGGAGUACCUGGAUCUGAAGGUAACGGGACAGGAAACAAUCAGGCGUGUUGUGCAGCCGAUGAAAAUUGCAGAAAGUGAUGUUGAUGCGAAGCUGAGCAGACUUUGUGAACGGGACAAAAGUCUUCAAGAUUUGGAAAUGAAAGUCAGGCAGCUCAAGAUGGACAAGGACAAGCUGGAGUCAGUGCUGGAGGUGACGCACACGCAGAUGGAGCAGUACAGGGGGCAGCCCACCCACACCGACAAGAUCGCCUACCAGCAGCGGCUACUGCAGGAGGACCUGGUUCAGAUCCGAGCGGAGAUCUCCAUCAUCUCCACGGAGAUGGAGAAUGUGUGGAAGAAAUACGAGCAGACGGAACGGGAUGUGAACCAGCUGAAGGAGUUGAUGCUGGAACAUCUGAGAAGAGUCCCGAACUCCCAGGAGCAAGUGCAGAUAAGGAAGGAUCUGCGGAGGAUCGAGGAUGUUAUGGGAGGGCUCAGUGUGAGCAAAAGCAACUACAAAGUGAUCAUGGAAUCCAUCCAGAAUCCCGACCGAAGAACCGUGCCUUCAAUGCCUUCCUCAUCAGUGCCUUCUUUCUCAACUACAUCCACGCUGUAUGAGAGGAGAGCUGCAAAUCAGCUGAGCCCUCCAGUCAGUCCAGUGAUGCUUUCGCCUGGGCCCCAACCUCAGACUCAAUACAGACCUCACAUUCUGCCUCAGUUCAGGCAACAGCCAAAGGUGCCAGAGGACGAUGCUCCGCCCAGGCCUCCCCUCCCCCACAUGUACAGCCCUGAUGACCUGCCACCAGCAGUCCCACCUCUCCCAAAGGACGCCACAGUCAUCAGGCACACAUCAGUGCGGGGCCUCAAACGCCAAUCAGAUGAGAGGAAGCGAGACCGGGAGUACGGCCAGUACGUGAACGGAGACUACAAGGCAGAGCUGCGUUCCUAUGUGAGCGAGCCGGAGCUGAUGUCAGUGGGAAGCGGGAUGAGCAGAUCCAUGGCCGGAUCCCUAGAGCACGAUGGUGGAUUCCAGACCCUGCCCGGCCGAGGCUUGUCGUCGUCCAGCACAGGACUGCAGCAGUCCUCCGACGUCACAUCACACUACGUCACACUCCGGAGAGGGAGGAACGACAUCAGCUCUAAGCAGAGGCCAAAGAGCGCUGUGGAGCGCCUGUACGGGGAAAACCAAAGAGGGAGGAUGAGCGCGGAGGAGCAGCUGGAACGUAUGAAGAGGCACCAAAAGGCCUUGGUUCGCGAGCGGAAGCGAACACUCAGCCAUGGAGAGCGUCACUCCACUUCCUCCCGGCCUUCCUUCAGACCAGCUUCUGCUGAUAUUGGCUCAUGGAAACGUGAACAAGACUUUGAUUUACAGCUACUGGAGAGAGCUGCACAGGGAGAGGCGAGCAGGGAGCAUGACGGGCUCCUGAAGGUAGUGCCUGUGGUGGAAGCUGACGUGGAACCUCUGGAUUACGAUCUGGAUCUCAGCAAAGAGUUAUCCAAGCCAGAUAUGGUUGAGAUCCCAGAGCGUUACAUCAACCUGGAGCCCAAUGAGCCGCUCACCAAUGAAGAGCUCGAAACGAGGAGACGCAAGGUGCAAAAAAUCAAAAGCAUCCUUGCCAAGUCCAGUUUUCAGAAUGUACAAUCCGGAAUCACCCACAACAAAGAGAACUCUCUGGAUGUGGACUUGCAACUACAGGAGCAGGAACGACUCAUCACCAUGUCCUAUGCCUUAGCGUCCGAGGCCUCUCAGCGCAGCAAACUAGUGGCAGCUCAACAACAAGUCCAUCCUCCGGCACCCUCCCCUCCUCAUUCCCCUCUUAGCAAUGGAUUCCACUACACGUUUGUCUAAGCAAAGUUGCAAAGUUCAAGCAUUCAAUGUUCCCAGUGAUCAUCACCUAGAUCUGAAGAGCCAAGUUGCCUGCAAGGGUCAAAGUUAUUUGAAAGUUAUUAUUGAAUCUGCUUCCACCACCCUUUCAAGCAGUGCAUUCCAGAUCAUACCAACUCACUGCGUAAAAAAGCUAAAGCCCUGGCUGAAGACUAACAAAGAAGAGAGAGCAAAGCAAGAGGAAAAUAUUGCCACAAAGCGACCGAGAGCAGUGUUGUAUUACACUUGGCCUGUACUAACCAGCUGGAGACCAACAUAAUCUCAUCAACAGAUUUUUUUUCUACUUCAAAAAAAAAGCAAAAUAACUUUGCUGGAUGUGACCUGGGAACUGGAUCACUGCAUGACUGGAUGAACAUUUAAAAAGGGAAGCUAUUUUUCUAAACAUACAAAAAACAUUUUAGCAAACAUUCAGUGACUUUCAUGUUGGGUGCAAAAGUCUUUAACACAAGAGUUGUUUGCGUAGGUUUUAACAUGUUUUUUUAAAAACAUAUGAUAUUGCACUUUUUAAUAUAUACAUAUAUAUAUAUAUAUACACACACCAUGAAAGGCUGGUUUUGCUGCAUUUUAGAAUCAGGAUACAUUGAAACAAGUUUAUAAAAAAAUGCAAAUUAUUCAGAGCAAUUUAACUGUUUGAAAUAUGUGUUCAAUUUUCAUUAGGCUGAUUUUCGCGGCAAUAUUUUAUUGUGCUAUUUCAUGGUGAGUAUAGAUACUACAGAACAAAAGGAUGGAAACACUGGUUCAUCCCUGAUUUACACUGAAAUACUGAUCUAUUUUUUUGAAUUUGAAAUCAGCAUCUAAUCUCCUCAGAACAUUGUUUUUGGUGACGCGAUUUUAAAAUGAAUUUAUUUUGUCUGAACCAAACACUGCCACAGUGAACUGUUGCCAAAACCAAACGGAUUUCCGCCCACCGCCAACAGUUGUGAUGAACGCUUUAGAAGUGGAGUGAAAAAAAUACAGAUCAUGAAAGAUGGGUGGGGGGAGUGGUGGGAGAAGAGAGAGAGAACGCAUGGGCGGGAAGAAUAUUUUGAACGAUGACAC